rnacentral:rRNA from 1 species
ACACCCGUUCCCAUGCCGAACACGGAAGUUAAGCUCUUUAGCGCCGAUGGUAGUUGGGGGUUUCCCCCUGUGAGAGUAGGACGUUGCCAGGC